CCCCUUUAGGGUUUGCUUGCGAUGAAGAAGCGCCGCCGAUCUGAUUUCUCACAAAAGCAUUCAAAUUCCUUCCCCAAAUGCUAUGUUUCGGUAGAUCUCUCAGUACUGGGUUCACUUCUUACAAGUGAGAAGUACAAUGGCAUGAGUGGAGUCGGAAAAAGAUGGAAGAGUCUAGUUUUACUCAGCUUGCAAUUUCAAAAAUGUGCAUCCGAAUUCAGUUGAUCCCAAUGAAGAACACAGUCCUCCAUAUUACAAUUUGGAUUAACCAAAUUAAUGAUAUGGAAUAGAUUUUACAAUUUCAUUGGUGUUCACCCUUACUGCAACAACCUAAUAUGAAAGGUAAUGCGCCUUUACAGAUUAUAGUGAGGAUUUGAAUGAAUAUAUGGAGAAUGGGGUUGGAGCAGAUAUGGUGAUGCUGAGGAUGACAAAUUUGGAGAAAGAAACAACAUUACACCAAGUAGUGUAAUAUCAUUAUCUCCAAGGAAUGAAGUUUGUUAUCGAAGAAGACCUCGAAUUUACCUAUGGUGCUAAUGAUACGAGGUCGAUUCUUCUUUACAUGGUUGCUGAGAGGGGGUUUGAAGACAUUAAAUAUGAUCAUCUACUUGCAUUUCACCAACUUAGUGUUAUCAUUGGUAGAACGGCCUUGCAUGAUACCAUAGUUUUCAAUGAUAAAGGUUUACUUCCUACACGUGAGAAAUAUCAUGGCAUAAGUGGAGUCGGAAAAAGGUAUGAAUAAUGUAUUUACUAUAUUAAGUGAAAUAAUGUUUUAUAAAGUUCUAUAAUGUAUUUGUGUUUAGUAGACAUUAUGUUUAAUAUUAGCAAUAGUAAUAAUAUUAAAAUUUGAGUUUGUACGCACGUUUGGUUGAUGAACCAUAAAUUUGCUUUGUAGUGGUUCAAACUCUUUUGGUGUUUUGUAGAAAUUUUUUUCUUAA